AGGCAGGAUUGUAUCUGUGAUUUUUCAGCACAAAAACCAUUGUGUUCCUUCAGGCUAUAUAACCACUCUGAGGUCGAUUUCCUCCUGGUGGAGUAUUCCAGGACAAGGGAAAGCAUUCAUUUUCCAUGGAAGUCACUGAGACUGGAAAAUAGGAAGAAUCAGACUUUCUCCCCAGACUUCACUUUCUCCUUGGCUCCUGCCAGCUCCAGACCUCCAGACUGACAUGGGAGCAGUCUCUCCCGAGGAAUUCUGCUGCCCCUGGUUCUCGCUGACAUCAAGAAGUGUUGAGGUAGCUAUAGCCUAGGAUGCUCAAGGCAAAUUCAACUUAAACAGCAUGUGCUCAAGCACCCUCAACAUUGCUUAAACUCUGCAAGGAUGAUAAUUCAGCACGAGAAAACAGAGAUGGUUUUACCAGGAAAUCAUUGGAAAUGAGGACCCUGAGGUCACCCAGUCCGCUCUGUGACAGUUCAGCUAGAGCUGCUCUUGGCUGGUGUUUAUCUUGUGGGUCUGAGGCUCCAGUGAUUCCCACAGCAGCCUGUUCCAGGGGUCUGUCAUCCUUGCUGUUGGGUGUUUGGCCUUAAGCUCUAACUGAAUGCUCCUCACUGCAAUUUAAAGACCAUUGCUUUGCUUCUGUUGUAAGCACAACUACAUCUUAAACAUUGGAGAAUACUACUUGUUGCUGUCUCAGUCUUCAGGAGCUCCAAGCAGAGUGGAGUGAUCACUACAGCUGAUACUUGGUUUUAGACACACUGGUAUGAUAUUUUCCCUAUUUGCCACAGGCUGAUUUGACUCAUGGUCACAGCUUCUGAUUCAUUAUACCCCUCAAGUCCUUGCUGGACAGACAGACAACCAGACAACCCCCAGGCUGUGCUCACACCAUUAAUAUCUUCUGCCUGACUGCCAAAAUUUC